rnacentral:lncRNA from 1 species
UUAUAGCUUCCCCAGGAAGCCACCAUCCCCUUUCCUGAGAAGCUCCAGGACCCACACUCCUCAAUCCCUAGAUACCCCAAGUCCACCCCGCCACCCACGCAUCCACUCUGAUACCCUCAAUCUGGCCCUGAUCCACCUGGAUACCCCCGUCCACCCAGGCACCCCUCUCCAACGCUGUCCACCCAGAUACGCCCAACCCAGAUGCUUCUGGUCCACUCUGACACCCGCGAUCCACCCAGGCACCCCGCUUCCACAUGUGGACCUUACCCUCGUCCCAGCUCACUCACCCAGUCCCCUCAAGGCAGAAUGAUCAGGGUCAGGGGGACCCCCGAUCAGGCCAAUGGAAGAUGCUUUGUCUAAUCUCCUGCCUCCUGCUCCUUGCCCCCCCCUCCCCGGAAAAAUCCUUGCAAGGAGGAAGUUCUAGUUAGUGUCUUUAACAGAGAUCAGUGGGAAAGCUGGAGUGGUUUGGGGGCAGAGCCAAGAGGGUGUUGGAGGGAGGGGACCCCAGCCGCUCACCUGUGUGGCUCCCCAGAAGGCUUGGAAAGUUCUGGGAGAGAAGGGAGGGAAUGCAGCUGCUAAGCCUGAGUCCUGCCUUUAUCCGCAGCUGCCACGCCCUAGGCAAACCUGGGCAGGUAGAGAACAAGUCGGACUCCCUAAAGCUCUGGGGCUCUCUCACCCCAUUCCUGCUCUUAAAGAGACAGCUCCCACAUCCUUCUUCCCAGCCAGGGUGCUCCCUGAGGUCCCCAAGGUCACAGCAGCCUCAGCUUCUCGUGGAAGACACAGCCUGAUCCGACCUGCGCUUGGAGAUUCCCACUUGGCAGCAGUGGCUGGAGGGGCAGGGCCAUGUCCUGCCUGGUUUGAGGCUUCAUGGGAGGGAAUGGGAGACAGGGACACCCACCUCCUGUCUCACACCUGCAUCUGCCUUCGGGGCCACGGUUAUGAGGCAGACCCUGGACGGCCGCGGCCCAGGAUCGAUGGGGCCUGGUUUACACAGGAAAGACCCCAGGCCUGUCAUCCCGACUCUGCCCACAGCGACGGGGAAAGGCUCAGUUAAGGAAAAGCUUGGUUGUGUUUUGUGACCCCCUCCCAAAAAGGCAUUGACAGCAACUGCCCGUGGAGAAGAUCGAAUCCUUCGACAGUGCCCACCUGCCCAAAGACAGGCAGGAGAAGAUGUCUGAGAGGCAAGACACUCGGGAAAAAAAAAUAAUAACUGGGACACAGAUACAUGGAGCAAAAGCAGAUGAGGGAAAAUAGGAAGAAUCGAUGGAUCUUCAUAAGGAGUAUUUGAGUUCGUUGUACUCUUAAAAUUUUUUUUUAUUUAUUCAUUUGAUAGAGAGAGUGCGAGACAGCACAAUCCUGGGGGAGAGGCCGAGGGAGAGGGAGAUGCCCACUCCCCCCACUGCCCCAGCAGGGAGCCCGAUGUGGGGCUCGACCCCAGGACCCCGGGAUCAUGACCCGAGCCCAAGGCAGACGCUUCAUCCGCUGAGCCACCCGGGCGCCCCUCGUUGUGCUCUCUAUGUAACUUUCCUGGCGUGAUAAAAAUUCAAGAUCAAAGUUGGCGAAGAUAAAUAAAAAUUCUUAAAUUGAGGUUAACACCAAAGAGGCAACUGCAGGGGGAAAAAAAAAAAGGCAAAAGUAGGGGAAAAAAAAGUAAAUUCGGAAUUGGAUAAGUUGUUACAGGAGCAGAAUUGGAUUGGACUUCGAAAAUUGUGUAUUGAGGUAUUUGGCACGUAGUACAU